rnacentral:rRNA from 1 species
AUUGAACGCUGGCGGCAGGCCUAACACAUGCAAGUCGAGCGGCAGCACGGGUACUUGUACCUGGUGGCGAGCGGCGGACGGGUGAGUAAUGCCUAGGAAUCUGCCUGGUAGUGGGGGAUAACGCUCGGAAACGGACGCUAAUACCGCAUACGUCCUACGGGAGAAAGCAGGGGACCUUCGGGCCUUGCGCUAUCAGAUGAGCCUAGGUCGGAUUAGCUAGUUGGUGAGGUAAUGGCUCACCAAGGCGACGAUCCGUAACUGGUCUGAGAGGAUGAUCAGUCACACUGGAACUGAGACACGGUCCAGACUCCUACGGGAGGCAGCAGUGGGGAAUAUUGGACAAUGGGCGAAAGCCUGAUCCAGCCAUGCCGCGUGUGUGAAGAAGGUCUUCGGAUUGUAAAGCACUUUAAGUUGGGAGGAAGGGCAGUUACCUAAUACGUAUCUGUUUUGACGUACCGACA